AUUGAACGCUGGCGGCAUGCCUUACACAUGCAAGUCGAACGGCAGCACGGGUGCUUGCACCUGGUGGCGAGUGGCGAACGGGUGAGUAAUACAUCGGAACAUGUCCUGUAGUGGGGGAUAGCCCGGCGAAAGCCGGAUUAAUACCGCAUACGAUCUACGGAUGAAAGCGGGGGACCUUCGGGCCUCGCGCUAUAGGGUUGGCCGAUGGCUGAUUAGCUAGUUGGUGGGGUAAAGGCCUACCAAGGCGACGAUCAGUAGCUGGUCUGAGAGGACGACCAGCCACACUGGAACUGAGACACGGCCCAGACUCCUACGGGAGGCAGCAGUGGGGAAUUUUGGACAAUGGGCGAAAGCCUGAUCCAGCAAUGCCGCGUGUGUGAAGAAGGCCUUCGGGUUGUAAAGCACUUUUGUCCGGAAAGAAAACCUUGGCUCUAAUACAGUCGGGGGAUGACGGUACCGGAAGAAUAAGCACCGGCUAACUACGUG
rnacentral:rRNA from 1 species